ACUUGGUGAUGUGGGCAUUCAUGCAAGAGGUCCUUAAAAUGCUCCCAAGUCUCAAAAAAUAGUUCCCCAUCCUAUUGUGAGAAAUUAGUGAUGACCUUCCUUAGCU